rnacentral:tRNA from 1 species
GAGGGUAUAGCUCAGUGGUACAGUGCAUGGUUAGCAUGAAUGAGGUCCUGGGUUCAAUCUCCAGUACUUCCA